rnacentral:lncRNA from 1 species
AAGUUCAAUUGAAGUAUCUUAUCUGGUUCUAUCUACUCAGUAGCCACAUGAGAUGAGGUACGACAAUAUUAAUUUUUUUGAUUUUGAAGCCUAUUUUAUACUUUCUCAUUUCAAAUAGACUUGCAUUUAGAACAUUUUAUUUUAACAGUGUGUUGUUUAUUUUUAUAGGAAAAAACGAGAAUAUAUGCAGAUUAAGAAAGUUCAUUGUGGGAGGAUUUAAAUUGAAUUCUAGGCACUCUACAUUUUUCAAGUUCUAUACAUAAGUAAGUGUCUUCACUCUUUAACUAUGAUUUAAUUUUUUGUUACUUUGUUCGACCUUUUUAGUAAGAUUUUUUAUGAGUGUUUGCUCUUUGGGACAAACCACAUUGAGUUUUGCUUUGUUGCCAAGUAGUGUACGUUAUAAGGUAAGAUCAAUGUCCAUGCCAAGAAUAAAAUAGAAAGUCUUAAUAUGUGGAUUUUAUUGGGAUUAGUUAUUGUGUCCUCCAAACUCAGAUCUGUUUUGGAUUGAUUGGCUGAGUUUUAAUAUGCACCGUUGUUUACAUUUUCGUUUGUUAACUUAACAUGUUUCAAAUUAAGAAGGAAAAAAAAUAUGUAUGAGUUGAAUGAAUGUUUUCUUCUUUUGUUGUGACUAAUGUUUUUUUACACAAUUAUAGAUGGCAUGAGCAAGAAAAGUUUAUCAUGAAGAGGUUGAACUUCUUGGGAGAUGACCAAGUUUUUAUGUGGUGGCUUCUGUGAUAUCUCAAUAGGAUAUAUCUUCUCUUUAAAUUCAUAUAUCAUGUUGUAUAAUUAAGGGGGAAAUUACAAUGACCUCGCCUAAAUUCUAUUGUAAUGACACAAACACCCCCUCUAAGUUUUUAAUAGACACAAACCUCCCCUAAAGUCUAUUGAAUAGACAAACACCUCCCCUUUAAACUUACACCGUUUAUUAAUUUGUUAAUUUUAUUAUGAUGAUGAUCUCUCUCCACUGAAACCUUGAAUAUCGUACCAUUGUU